GCCAGCGGUGACACAUGAAGGAGAUCACUGUGGCCGAUCCUGCCUGCGGCAUCCAGAACAGGUGCUCUCCCCACACCCUGCCCAGAGGUUAUCUCAGGCCUGAAGCUCGCAUUGACAUCCCACACUUCGUGCACUGAGCCAGGCAGCAUCCAGCACACAUGAGGGCAGCCUGGUUAUGACAGCAACACGUCAUAUGCCCACAGCCAGACACAGCUGGAAUCACAGCCUCCCGUCCACCGCUACACAGCUGGGCGACCUUGGGCCUCACGCAGACAAACGUGCUCAUCAAGAGGGAGGAGCUGGGCCAGGGCCCGUGAGGAUUUCUCUAAAAUCCUUUUCUGUGGCUCUGACUUCUGAGCCCCCAAGUUCCUCUUCUCCGAGCCAGAACCAGGAUUUGCAUCAGGGGACCACAGCGCCUGACUUUCC
rnacentral:lncRNA from 1 species